rnacentral:rRNA from 1 species
UACGGGGGGGGCAAGCGUUUGUUCGGAAUUACUGGGCGUAAAGAGCGUGUAGGCGGCUUUACAGGUCCGUUGUGAAAACUCGAGGCUCAACCUCGAGACGCCGGUGGAAACCGUAAAGCUAGAGUCCGGAAGAGGAGAGUGGAAUUCCUGGUGUAGCGGUGAAAUGCGCAGAUAUCAGGAAGAACACCCGUGGCGAAGGCGGCUCUCUGGGACGGUACUGACGCUGAGACGCGAAAGCGUGGGGAGCGAACAGG